rnacentral:rRNA from 1 species
GCCAGACUCCUACGGGAGGCAGCAGUGGGGGAUAUUGCACAAUGGGGGAAACCCUGAUGCAGCGACGCCGCGUGAGUGAAGAAGUAUUUCGGUAUGUAAAGCUCUAUCAGCAGGGAAGAAAAAAGACGGUACCUGACUAAGAAGCCCCGGCUAACUACGUGCCAGCAGCCGCGGUAAUACGUAGGGGGCAAGCGUUAUCCGGAUUUACUGGGUGUAAAGGGAGCGUAGACGGCAAUACAAGUCGGAAGUGAAAUACCCGGGCUCAACCUGGGAACUGCUUUGGAAACUGUAUGGCUGGAGUGCUGGAGAGGUAAGCGGAAUUCCUAGUGUAGCGGUGAAAUGCGUAGAUAUUAGGAGGAACACCAGUGGCGAAGGCGGCUUACUGGACAGUAACUGACGUUGAGGCUCGAAAGCGUGGGGAGCAAACAGGAUUAGAUACCCUUGUA